GGGUGUCUUGGGUGGCUAGCGAGUUUACUUUGAAAAAAUUAGAGUGCUUAACACAGGCUAUCGCCUGAAUACUUGUGCAUGGAAUAAUAGAAUAAGACCACGGCUCUAAUAUUAAUCAUUUGUCCCCCCUCAUUCUGGCGGGUGGCCUGUUCUAUCGUCNUUUCNACCAUCGCCCCCCNGUCUUGU
rnacentral:rRNA from 1 species